rnacentral:rRNA from 1 species
UUGUUACACAACUAUGAACCCGUCACCAGUAUUGAAUAAAAUCAUAAAUUAUGAAAAUUAUUAUGCUAGAACUAGUAACAAGAAAAUGAAUUUCUCCAAAGCGUAAGCAUAAACCAAUGAUGGACAACCCAUUGGCACAUAACGGCACUGAAUUGACUAUAGUAACAAACCUAGAAAACCCUAUUAACUCAAACCGUUAACCUUACACAAGAACCCUUCUGGAAAGAUUAAGAGGAAGAGAAGGAACUCGGCAAAUGUUAGCCCCGCCUGUUUACCAAAAACAUCGCCUCCUGUUUAAAUAUAAGAGGUCCAGCCUGCCCAGUGUUUUAAUUCAACGGCCGCGUGAUUUAAGCGCGCGAAGGUAGCAUAAUAAUUUGUUCUUUAAAUGUGGACUUGUAUCAAUGGCAUCACGAGGGCUAUACUGUCUCCUCUCCCCAAUCAGUGAAACUAAUCUCCCUGUGAAAAAGCAGGGAUAAGACUAUAAGACGAGAAGACCCCAUGGAGCUUAAAACACUGCAUUAAUACUAAUUACACUGUCAAUAUAAUUUUAUACUAUACAUGCUCGUUUUAGGUUGGGGUGACCGCGGAGUAAAACAAAACCUCCACAACGAAAAGGGAGUUGUACCUUUAUCUAAGAGACACUUUUCUAAGAAUUAUUUAAUAUAACGUCUAAUGACCCGACUAUCGAUCAACGGACCAAGUUACCCUGGGGAUAACAGCGCAAUCCACUUUAAGAGCUCCUAUCGACAGGUGGGCUUACGACCUCGAUGUUGGAUCAGAUAUCCCAGUGGUGCAGCUGCUAC